GCCAGGUGCAAUGGCACAUGCCUGUAGUCCCAGCUACUCGGGAGGCUAAGGCUGGAGGAUUACUUGAGUCCAGGAGUUCUGGGCUGUAGUGCUCUAUGCAGAUCUUUUCCACACUAAGUUCAGCAUCAAUAUGGUGACCUCCCGGGAGCAGAGGACCACCAGGUUGCCUAAGGAGGGGUGAACCAGCCCAGGUCAGAAACAGAAAAGGUCAAAACUCCCGAGCUGAUCAGUAGUGGGAUCGCGCCUGGGAAUAGCCACUGCACUCCAGCCUGGCAACAAAGCAAGACCCCGUCUCU
rnacentral:SRP_RNA from 1 species